GUGAGGCGGACGGGCCUUCAGCCGCUGUUAAUUCUGUCGCUUAUAGGGCUAGUCGUGGUUUAACCCCGACACUAGCCCAGCGCCAGGCAGCUGCUCCCUCACUUCCCCCCCAGCAAGAGAAUUGAAAGGGUGAAAACUACAAAACUCAGGCACUGGGUUAUGGACAGUUUAUAAUACGGUGCUUGGUAUUCCUACAGUGUGCAUAAACAGCAGCUUCAAUUGGAGUUGCUAUUCUAUGUUAGGAAUCUUGUACAAUUGGUUAUUUCAGGAUGUUUCUGAGCAAACAAGAUAUUAUAUGUACUUCAAAACAGUGCAAAUAUUUCUUAGAAGGAUGAGAAUUAUGGUCACAUUAUCUAGCUAAUCCAGUAGGAUGCUAAAACACAACUAUAAGAUAUAAAAUAUUGCUCGGACAGUCCUCAUUUGUGCAUUUAAACCAGAUUACUAUUCCCAAGCCUGGGGAAGAUAAAGAUUACCUUUCUCAAGCAGUCAUAAUGAAAACCAUUCCUGUGCCUCAGAAUCUUCAAUCCUCAGCCUGGCCUUUUAGCAAAAACCAUCAUGGAAGACAAAAGGAAACAUAAAUGUUUGUCCCAGCCCUGAAGAGCUUGCAGUGUAAAGAGAGGAUACAAAUACCAUAGCUGACAGUGGACUCGUGCUACAUCACAACAUAAAGAGGAUUACACAUACAGAUUACAGCUGUUAACAAACCAUGGAAAUAUCUAACACAAGCAGUUUACAUCAGAACUGGAACUGCUGUUGAAGAACUAAGUGUUUGGAUAAGUCUGUGACUCUCACAGGUCUCACAUAUGCAAGAGAUGAAACACAACAUGGAGAGGAAGUCCACAAAGUGUUUGGCUGUAUGGAUACAGGUAUUGCUGAGCUAGCAAAAGCAGUAACAAUAGUGCAUGAUGUCACUUCUUAUCUUUAGGGUCUUUGUGAUAAUCUGCUGCUGCUGUUGCCAUGGGAGCCUGGCAUAUGCUUAAAAUCCAUAAAGGCAAUAUUCCAUGAGGUCAACAGACUUUGACUGACAGGCCAAAAAGUUAGUUUGCUGACAAGUCUCCAAAUCAGGAAGUUGGAAAUAAGCAUCUAGGGUAUCCAAGAUGGAAGAAAAGCUCUUGUAGAAAGACUGGUGAGGAGACAAAUUUUUGUCAGUUUGGUGUUUUAUAAUGCAGA